UACGGAGGGUGCGAGCGUUGUCCGGAAUCACUGGGCGUAAAGGGCGCGUAGGCGGCGCGGAUAGUCGGCGGUGAAAGCCCGGAGCUCAACUCCGGGUCGGCCGUCGAUACUUCCGGGCUUGAGCACUGUAGAGGCAGAUGGAAUUCCGGGUGUAGCGGUGGAAUGCGUAGAGAUCCGGAAGAACACCGGUGGCGAAGGCGGUCUGCUGGGCAGUUGCUGACGCUGAUGCGCGACAGCAGUGGGGAGCAAACGAG
rnacentral:rRNA from 1 species